AGUUUUAGAUUGUUUUUUUUUUAACCUGUACUCAGUUAUUUUGAGUAUUUAGCAAUAAUGUCAUUUAUUGUUUCUAAAUUAAUUGUUGUGCUGUAUUUGUGGAAAAUUGUGAAAAAAAGUGUUCAGGUAUUUGGUUUGUUCAAAACUUCACUUGUUAAUAUUAAAUUAAAUCAGAAGAGAUGAGGUAUUUUUACAGAAGGUGUAAAAUCAUUGAAAAAAAGAUUUUUAAGGUACAGACAUAGUACUAGUUCUGUGCCUGAAACUAUAUGGUUGUGUAUCCCUUGUUAUAUAUCCUUAAGACGAUAUCAAAUGUUUACUUCAGUGAGUUUUUUGUUGGAUUGAAGAAAAUUUCUCAACAUCUUAAAGAAUUGGCUUAUUCCAUGGAACCAGAAAUUAUUUACAUAUUAUAUGACAAAAACUUUCAUGGUAUAAACGGAAAUCUAGGUAGCCAUGUCAAAGUACAAAAAUUGCUUCUGAAGUAAAAUUGUUGAUAUUUCCUCUAUCUGGUAAUUUAUUUUCCUCAUAUUUUAUUAUUUAUGGUUUCCAGUGCUUUAUGUUGAUGUUUAUUAACCUGACCUCACGAUUGAACAUUUAAAUCUAGUCUAUAACCAUAUGUACUAAACUUUAUAUUCCUCUCUUGUUGGAAAGGAAAUACUUUUUAAGUUUUACAUUUCUUAAGUACACUUCAUUUUUAGAAAUGUAGAGUUCAGAAAAACAUAUGAAUUAAUUAUUACUUUGAAUAAAUACAACAUUAUUAUUUCCAGUAGUAAUUCAGAUUCAAUUUUUCAUCUUUUGGCAAGAUAAAAUUAAAUAUUUAUUUUCUGAUUUUUCAUUCAUGAAAUGUACUUUUUCAAUGUGGCGGCUUUAUAUUAUGCAGGAAGUGCAUAUAUAAAAAAAAAAAACAUUUACACUACUUUAGAUGCUGAAUUGAUUAAAACAUAUCAUAUUAAACCCUGCCUUGCCAGCAUUGGUUUUUAGCUGUUUGUGACUUUUUAUAUAUUUAAAUGAUUAAUUUUUUAAUGGGCGAAUAAGGAAAGUUUGGUCACAUUUUCUGGAUAUAAUUUUUUAAGAAUAAACAAGAUUCCAAAUACUAUAAAAAAAAAAAUGACAUUUAACUAAUUGUGCAGUGAAGACCACACAGUUUUGCUGUUAUCCCCAUAAAACCCAUACAUUUUUGUAUAAUACUUAUUUAAAAUAAAAACCUGAUAUCUAAAAAUAUCAGAUUUGUUCAAACUUAACUUACUGGAUAAAAUUAAAGUAUUUUCAGCUGAGAUUAAACAGUUAAGUGUUCAAAGUCAUUUUAUUUUUUUUUUAAAAGAGGAAAGACUUUUGUAAUGUUAUCAGUACUACAACAAUGUGACUAAAUAUUGGUUGGCUUGCAAGAAAUACAGGUUAGAGUGUUAGCUAUAAAUGAGCUUAUUUAUUGCCUUUUUGUACAAAAAUGAAAUUUGACUUUUUAUAUUUUAUUCAUUGAAUUUUUAUAAGACAUAACAUAACUGGCCAAAGUGUUUUUAGAAGUAUAUUUUGAAUACAUUUAACAGCAAUCAAACUUAUUGUUGUCUAUUUAAUAUUCAUUUGGUGUAAUUACUUUUAAUAUUUAUGUCAAAAUAGCGGAUUUAUAUGCAAAGCUUAAUUUAGAGAAAAAUCAUUGCUGAAUCUUUUAAAUUUUACAUCUUUCAUUUCAAACAUUAUCAGAGCUUAGUAGAAAAAUAUACAAAAUAUAACAUCUUGCAUAUCCUUUUUCAGAUGCUUUUGUUUAAUGGUAUUAUUGAUACAUGCAUGUAUUUUUAUCCUAAGUUUAAAAAAUGGAUGUAAAAAUUAUAAAUUAAUUCAAACUUUGAUAUAUAUCUAUAUGUAUUCAUUUAAUUUUUCAAAUACAAUAGCUGUAAAUGAUGCCACAUUGUUGAAUAUGAAACUUAUGAAGAGAAAAUUUUUUUUUUUUAUAAUUAAGAAACAACAAAAGAUUAAACCGACAGAUUUUAUGCAGGGAUUGUUUUUGUUAGUGUUCUAGUAGCUCCAUAUUCCAUUUCUGUGAUGACAGAAAUUUCAAUAAAAGGUUAGAGUAUAUAUUUUGUUUACGGUGCUAUUGUUUUUAUAUAAAGAUGCCUAAUUUAUAUUUUUUAUUCCUUUGUUACUGAUGUAUUUAUUUGUAUUAACCAGACACCUCUCAAAACAAUGAUUACUGUGAUCAUUCUGGUUACUGUAUACUGGUGAACUGUUAUCUGUGAUGGUUGUCAUGGUGAAGGAAGUGUUGCCAUGGUGACCAUAUGACAGUGUUGUCAUGGUGAUUAUAGUUGUUUCAUGGUUUACAUAUCGUGUGUAAUAUUUAUACACUGUAUGUUAAAAAUGAUGGCUUAGUGUAAGUUAUAGACGGGCAAGAAAUGGACAGGACCUUUCACAGAGGUUGACACCCAAUCUUUUAUAUAGCAUGAAAAAAAAACUUUUUCUAAACUUUUGUACUGUACUCAAGAUAAUUCCAUUUCAUAAUUGUUUUGUUAUUUUUAUAUUAUUUGUAUCUAAGAUGCACAAUAUUUAUGACUUAUUAAAUUGCUUUUGGUGAAUUUAAACUUGCUCAUGGAAGAAAUUUCAGACAAUGUUUAUGCAAUUGUUAGGGGAAAAAAUCAGUUUCAUCUUUGACUUCUUUUUAUUUCCUCCUUUUUCCUAUUAAUAAUCAUGAUCCUUUAAAAGAUUUGGGAAGUCAGCUUUAAAACUUGGUUCAUUAAACAAGUUAAAUGUAUUUUUCAUACACUAGUCAACAAAGAAUGUGGGCUAUUGAUACUUCAAAUUAAAAUCUAUGCACAAAAUAUAUUAACACCAAACCUUAUUUUAUACAAGUUUAUUCUGUAAUGAUAUUGAAUUAAUGUAGCAUUUCAAGAUAAAUUAUUUUUUAGUGGGAAUUUCAAGAGAAAUUUCAUAUAGGAGAAAUUUUUGCAAAGAUCGCCUUUGUUUUUUCUUGUAUUUUCAAUUUGUUAUAAAAAAGGCUUACUAUACCAAUGACAAAAAUAUUACUGUGCUUCCUUGUAAAUACUUUCAAGGAUUUUGUAUGACCGAACAAACAAAAAAAGGUAUUUUUUCAUAUUGAUUCUGAUGUUGAUUCCUGUUUUUUUUAAUUGUUUAUUGAUGUAAAUAUCUGGUUGUUGUUCCUAUUUAUUAAAAGUUGUUAAGUAGAUAUUUCUCUGUGAACUCUGUGUUAUUUAAAGCCUAAAAUGUUUGUCAAUGUUUUGUCUAUGCAUGAAGUAAACUCAUUAUAUUAUUGACCCCUUUGAGUCACCUUGGUUCCAUAAUUGUCUAAAGUAAAGGAAGGAAAACGCCUCCAAUUGACUUACUUGGUGCCAUGGAAACUGAUGAAUAAAUUGAGAUGUAGUAUAAUGAGAAUUACACAUUUUAAAGAAAAUACAUGGUUCAAAUUAUCAGAAAUUUUUAUUUGGUGAUUCAUUUGGAAGAGAAAUAGUUUUGAACAUUAAACUUCUAAAUUAACCACAUACAAAAGAAUUUGAAAUAAAAAAUAGUUUGUGCAUACAAUUGCCAAAAAGAGCAAAUGUUGACAAGUCAAAAAUAGUUUGUGCAUACAAUUGCCGAAAAGAGCAAAUGUUGACAAGUUAAAAUGGCCAGCUCCAACAACUGUCUGAAUAUAUUAAAAGCAAAAAGAAAUGAAACUUUAAUUAAGAGGAGAAACUAUAUACUGAUAACCAUAUUAGUUUCAUUGUUAUAUUCAGUCCUUACUUCAGAGAGAUUCAAAUGGUUUUCCAAAGAUUUAUACAUUUCUGAAAUUUGAAUUCAAGAAUAGAAAAUACUAUUUAAAUUUAUAUAGCAGAUAUUUAUAUAUCAGAUUAUUUAUUUAAUUGAAAAUUUCUCAGAUGGAGAUAUGUAUGUCUAUAUGUUCAGUAGUGUAGAAUAUAUUAUAAUUUUGUUAUGUUUUGUUAGUUACAGAGUUAAUAGUAAAUCUUGCCUUGGUUUUUUUAAUGUUAUUUUUAUACCUUUUCAUUUGAUAAAUGUGAUAUUCCUUUUUAAUUAUUUGAUAUUUGUUACUACUUCAAUUAUAAGCAGAUACUGUAACAUUUCAGAAGAUUUUCAGUUUUAGUCAUUUAUUUUUAAUAUCUUUAUUUUUGUAUUUUAUUUAUAUACUAUAGAAGUUAACUUUUUUUUGUAUACAGUGUUUAUUUUGUCUGCAGCUGCAUGUUUAACUACACAUAGCUAAAAGUACCAUCAAAAUUGUCACAUAUUCAAUAAUUGUCUUUGACAAUACAAGAAUGUACAUAUAACUAAGUGUUUUCCUGUAAGAAUAGCUUAGAUUACUAUUUUUAUGCCCCACCUACGAUAGUAGAGGGGCAUUAUGUUUUCUGGUCUGUGCCUCCGUUCGUCUGUCCGCUUCAGGUUAAAGUUUUUGGUCAAGGUAGUUUUUUGAAGAAGUUGAAGUCCAAUCAACUUGAAACUUAGUACACUUGUUCCCCAUGAUAUGAUCUUUCUAAUUUUAAUGCCAAAUUAUAGUUUUGACCCCAAUUUCAUGGUCCACUGAACAUAGAAAAUGAUAGUGCGAAGUUCAGGUUAAAGUUUUUGGUCAAGGUAGUUUUUUAUGAAGUUAAAGCUGCAUCAACUUGAAACUUAGUACACAUGUUCCCUAUGAUAUGAUCUUUCUAAUUUUAAUUCCAAAUUAAAGUUUUGACCCCAAUUUCACGGUCCACUAAACAUAGAAAAUGAUAGUGCGAGUGGGGCAUUUGUGUACUAUGGACACAUUCUUGUUUUAUAGUAAAAAUGAGAAUGAUCUCUAUUGACAUUCUUAUAAUUGGUUUACCAAAGCAGACAACUUGAAACUUUAUUGUAUGAAUUAAUUGAGGCUGGCUGAGACUUAUAUUCUGGAAAAAGUUGAUAUCCAGAGGAAUUUCAAAGACAAGUAUCAGAAUAGAAAGGAAAAAAUUAAGAUUAAGGUUGUAUGAAAUGGAAUGUGACAAAUUUGAUGGUAAUUUUAACUUGAUUAAAGAAUUCUUACAUUUGAAAGAAAUUGAAGAAGUAUUUAAUUCUGAGAGGCGAAUUCUUACAUUUGAAAGAAAUUGAAGAAGUAUUUAAUUCUAAGAGGCAUUUACUUUUAUUGUCGUUCUCUACAGUUGUGAGAUUUGAACUUCUUAAAGCUGAGGAUGAGCAGAUAUUUAAGAAUAACAAACAGAUCACAUUUAGAAAAUAAAUAUUCUUUUGUUGAUCUUUCUCUAGUCACUGGUUAUUAAUGUUUUGUUUUGUUUUAAACAAAUCAGUUAUUAAAUGCAAGCAUUUUUUGGAAGCUUUCAUCUUUCAAAAGAAUUGACAUGAAGAAAUUACUAAUUUUAAAAUUUAACCUUAUUUGGAGUUUGAAAUUUGUUUGAUUAUAUCAAAAGUCAAUUUUUCAACAUUUAUUUUAAAGUUUCUGUUUAUGUCACAUAGUUGUGGUAUGUUUUUUUUUGUCUAUUUUGAUAUUGGUUGUUUACCAAAAUCAGCUUGCCAGUAGAUAAAAUACAUAGAUAAUUUUCAUUUUAAAGCUAAUAUGAUACAUCACAAACAAAUUUCUAAAAAAGUGGAUUUAAUUUUUAAAUAGAUAAAAAUUUGGGCUGAUGAAAAGUUCAUACAAAAUAUUCAGAUUUCAAUAAUAUUAAAGUAUUGAUAGAAGAAGAAAAUUGUAUUAAAAAUGACAAGUAAAAAUUUAUAUUAAUUUAUGAAAAGUCCAGCCCAAAGAAGAAGACAUUUUGAUCUCAAUAUGUGUUUUCAUAUAUGAAAAGCAAUCUGAAAAAUAUCUGUGUAGUUUUAUACAAGUAUCUCCACGGCUGUACAUUGUUUUAAACAGAAUCGGCUCAGUUGUCAAAUGUAAUCUCUCCUAAGUGCAAUAUUCAAAUAAAAAGCAUAUUUUUGAUUGAAACAUGUAUUUUUACAAAAUCAUGUCACAUUUGUUAUUUAUCACGUGUAUAGAAAAAAAAAUCAAAUAGCUAUUUUCACAUGUUAUUUUACUACCUGUAGAUUUGUACGAGUUAAUAUUGUGAUGGUAGUUACUCAGUAUUAUGGUAUAUAUAUAUAUCAGAUAAAUUUUUCACAUUAUUUUUGGAAUAUUUUUGCUCUUAUGCUUGUUAGCCAUUUCACGUCAUAUUAGUACCUACCUAUCAGAUGUUUUCAAAGAACACCUUUUAUUUCCUUAUAAUGAUAUUCUAUAUUUAUGGUUCAUAUGUGUAAUACGCUUGUUAUCUUCCCUUAUCAGAUGUCCUUCUGAAAAGGUAAAAGUUAAAAGAAAAAAAGUUGUAUGCCAAGUACAAUUUCCUUUAAGCAUGGAUUGUGUAUAGAUUUGAUUUUGAAGCUCUCAUAUACAAUAUACUGCCUUUUGACAUCUAUCAAGGGAAUCGCUGAAGAAACAGUUAAUACAGAAUUUUAUUAAAAGUUGUUAAUUUUUGUUCAUGUUUAUGCAGAUGACAAAAAUUGCUAACUAAUAUAUGUACUUUUAAAAAAAAAAAGAGAUGCAGAUUUUUCCAACAAAAAAUCUUCCAACUUCUGCAAAAUUAUAACAUUCAUAUAAAAACCCAGAUAAAAAGAAACUGAAACCUUUCAAGGUUAUUUUGAAACAUAGAUAUUGCAAAUUAAAAUCAAAAAUAGAAUAGCAAAUUUGGAUUUUACUUUUUCAAAAGAAUUAUUUUCCUUAAUUUUUUUUAUUUAAGUCAUUUGAUAAAAAAAUAAAACAGAAAUAAAUGGUGUUCUUGAAGCAUGUAGACGAGACCAAAUUGUCAUCCAUGUUUUUUUUGUAUAUGGGAAGUUUUUAAAGUUAAUUUGUUCAUUGCUGCGUUGAUACAGUUUUUAUGUUUUUUUUAAUAAAGCAAAGUCCUUAUUUAUAAAAAAUGGUGUUGUGUUGUUAGUAUUAGCUGUCUCAGUUUGUAUAUUUAAAAUGAAGCCUUGUAAUUUGCCGUUAAUUUUUAACUUUUUUAGAUCUUUCUAACACAUAACAUUUUGUGUAAUAUUUCUUCUGAAUAAAAACUUUUUAGAAG
rnacentral:lncRNA from 1 species